CCCAUCACCAUGGCGCGGGGUCUCCCAGGAAACGGCCCGGGAUGCGUUUGCGUCAGCACCGGCGGCGGGGGCGGCGAGGCCCCGGCCACGGGGACUACACCGACGGAGGAGCCCCCCGGCAGAUCCGAGGCGGGCCUGGAACAUCUCCAUCCCUGAAGACCUCGGCCCACCAACGGACCCGGCCCGCGUCCCUCGUCCCACGAAACCGGAAUCCACCUGCACCUCUUCCGUCUCGGAAUCCCCCAUCCCCACGCCAGGCUUGGGGGAAACCCGAUGUCUCGACGUGGCCUGGGGCUGACGAAGACAGCGUGUCCCACCAAGACCUGAGGACGAACAGUCCGAAAAUGCACACGUGGCCACAGGUUCCAGAGAGCCCUUAAAUAUCGUGACU